rnacentral:rRNA from 1 species
CCGGCGCACGGGUGCGUAACGCGUAUGCAACCUACCUUUAACAGGGGAGUAACACUGAGAAAUUGGUACUAAUACCCCAUAAUAUCAUAGAAGGCAUCUUUUAUGGUUGAAAAUUCCGAUGGUUAGAGAUGGGCAUGCGUUGUAUUAGCUAGUUGGUGGGGUAACGGCUCACCAAGGCUCCGAUCGGUAUCCGGCCUGAGAGGGCGGACGGACACACUGGGACUGAGACACGGCCCAG